rnacentral:rRNA from 1 species
UUCGAACGCUGAARCACUCUGCUUGCAGAGUGURGAUGAGUGGCGAACGGGGGAGCAACACGUGGGGAACCUGCCCAUAAGAGGGGGAUAACAUCCGGAAACGGGUGCUAAUACCGCAUAGGUGAUCAUAGCGCAUGCUUAGAUCAUUAAAGAUGGCUUCGGCUAUCGCUUAUGGAUGGCCCCGCGGCGUAUUAGCUAGUUGGUGAGGUAAUGGCUCACCAAGGCUGUGAUACGUAGCCGACCUGAGAGGGUGAUCGGCCACACUGGAACUGAGACACGGUCCAGACUCCUACGGGAGGCAGCAGUAGGGAAUCUUCCACAAUGGGCGAAAGCCUGAUGGAGCAAUACCGCGUGAGUGAAGAAGGUCUUCGGAUCGUAAAGCUCUGUUGUUAGAGAAGAACAAGAGGUGUAGUAACUGGCACCUCCUUGACGGUAUCUAACCAGAAAGUCACGGCUAACUACGUGCCAGCAGCCGCGGUAAUACGUAGGUGACAAGCGUUGUCCGGAUUUAUUGGGCGUAAAGCGAGCGCAGGCGGUCUUUUAAGUCUGAUGUGAAAGCCCACGGCUCAACCGUGGAGGGUCAUUGGAAACUGGAAGACUUGAAUGCAGAAGAGGAAAGUGGAAUUCCAUGUGUAGCGGUGAAAUGCGUAGAUAUAUGGAGGAACACCAGUGGCGAAGGCGACUUUCUGGUCUGUAAUUGACGCUGAGGCUCGAAAGCGUGGGGAGCGAACAGGAUUAGAUACCCUGGUAGUCCACGCCGUAACGAUGAGUGCUAAGUGUUGGAGGGUUUCCGCCCUUCAGUGCUGGAGCUACGCAUUAAGCMCUCCSCCUGGGGGAGUACGGCCGCAGCUGAACUCACAGGAAUUGACCGGGACCC